GGAUCCUUCCUUGUGAAUUUCUUUAUCUUGUAUUUCUUCACCAUUAGAGUCCAAAUGUACUUUCAAAGGCUCCUGCUUGUGAAAGGGUACCAAAGGAAAAGGCAUACCUCCACAAAAAGCCCACAAUGGCAGGGGAGCAGCAGAACCAGCUUCUACAGAAUUGGAGUUUUCCUUUUGGAAUUGCAGGCAAUAAAGUGUUCCAGGAGGCCCAUGUGACAAAUGACUCCAAGUGCAUUCCCCAUUCCCAUGUUGCAGUUCUGUGGCCAUAAAGUUCCAUGGCAAAGAUUGCACAGGUUUUCUAUCAUUCGUGUCUAAUAAUGGCAGUAAUUUAGAAUUCCCUAUAGUUGGAGAAGAUGGUCUGUGACUGGGGCUUUCAGUGACUAGUACAGUCCUUCCGAAGAGCUUGAGACUCCGAGUGGAUGUUUCCUCCACUAAACCCUCUUCGGAGAAGACAUUUUCUCUGGGAAAUAAGCCAAGUUUCUCAACCUUGGGAGAUUGCUCAUCAAGAGCUGCAGCAGUUGUUGGGGCUGGUGAUGUUGAUCCAUGAUCUUCAGGUGUCAAGUUGGGUUCACAAAUUGAGGAGUCAGCAGGAUG
rnacentral:misc_RNA from 1 species